UGCACCCAUAAAGAUGCGAUCGGAUAUGAUGUCGCGCCAGAGCUUGGAAACACACUUGAACUGUACAAGAAGCUCUGCAGGGAGUUUUAGCAGUAUCUCGAAAAGAACAUCUGGAUUGAGGAGGGGUGAAUUUGGCUGAGAGAAGUUCCUUCCCUUUUACGCAUGCAGCGACGGAGUUCCCCAUCUUCUUAGUUCAAGGCAUAUGUUCUUGAAUAUAUAUCAAGCAGUUCAUCCACAAUGGAACUAGUAUGUAUUGCCUGGAGAUGCCUGGAUGAUAUAUAUAGUGUGAGGAAAGAGAAGUCCAGAGAGGAAUAGCAAGUACCUUAGAAGGGAUUAUAUGGAAGAGGAGACUUUUAAUUGUUAAACCUUAGGGAAGGGACUAUAUGGAAACUUCCUCUGCUAAAUUUUAUUUUGCAAGUUGCCUGCUGACAUAAAUUCUUUAUCAUUGUUCAUUAGAAAAUUUUGGUUAGGACAACUUGCACUUCUCUCCGAACCCUCCCGACUUUUGAGUUUGGACUUUGGACUGUUUCUUUUGUGAACAAGUGUUUGUCGAUGAUAACAAAAUUUGCGCUUAGUUUUAUAUUUUAAA